rnacentral:lncRNA from 1 species
AUGGAUUAAUGCUGCCGCAGCUUUUCAUUUCUAAAAUCUGAUUGAUAAAAAAUAAUAACCAACAUGCGUAUUAUAUAUAUGAAGCUCUAGUAAUAAUGGUUAACACCAAAAUUUGGUAAUUUUAGUGCCAACAGAGUCUACUUAAGGAAGCCGACAAAUUGAUGCACUACUGGAAACAGCAACACUACCGAAGGCUUUUCGCUUUGCCGAGGGCCGGAUCUCGGGCACUCGGCAAAGGAAAUCUUUGACGAGGGCCGGCCCUCGGUAAAGAGGGACCCUCGGCAAAGAAAGGCCCUCGGCCAAGGCCCAUCUUUGCCGAGGGCCGGGCCCUCGGCAAAUACUGUGCUCUCGGCGGCGUGGGCCCAGGCUAACGGCGGCUCUCGGCGUUAGGCUUUGCCGAGGGCCCGGCGUUAAGCCCUCGGCAAAGCUCUGCCGGAGGCCCACCUUUGCUGAGGGCCCACCUGCCUGCCCUCGGCAAUGCCCCUCUUUGCCGACGUUCUGGCGUGGGCCCUCGGCUAAGAUUUAUUUUUUUGUUUUUUUUAUCCAUUUUUUGUGUGGCACACCUACACUAUUUUAAACUACAUGUCAAAGUUUGGUUCAUUUUGAAAUAACUUUGGUAUAUUUCUUGGAUUUCUUGAAUCAGUUGAAUUUCUCGACAAAUUUCAAAUUUGAAGUGAUCACAUGUGAGAUGUCUGGGUUUUGUGCACUGGACGUUACCACAGACUCGGAUUUUUUUUGAAAUUUUUAUCAUAGCCUCCACAUGUGAUAGCAUGAUAUGUCAAGUUUCGUGAUUUUCUGACUUUGUUUGCGUUUUAUAUAAUUAAAAAACUAUUUUCCCGCAACAUGGUCGACAUGUUUCGAGGGGUAAACGUUAUAUAUUUCACGUGCCCUUCUGGAUACGGUCUGGAAAUGCACUAACCAUUAUGAAUAUCAAGAUUGAAAUUAAUUAAUAUUAUUUAAUGCACCUGUACAUCAAAUUUGAAAUUUGUUGAGAAAAUCAAGAAAUUCAAAAAAUCUAGGAAAUAUAGCAAAAUUAUUUCAAAAUGAACCAAACUUUGGCAUCUAGUUUAAAAUAGUGUAUGUGUGCCACACAAAAAAAUUGGACUAAAAAACUUUGCCGAGGGUCUUGAUAUAGCCCUCAACAAAGAAAUUAGAACACUUAAAUUUAAAUACUUUGCCGAGGGCCCUAAAUCUAGGCCCUCAGCAAAGAAAUUAAUUAAGAAAAAUAAAAAAUCUUUGCCGAGGGCCCUAGAUCUAGGACCUCGGCAAAGAACGCCAACAAAUUAAACUGCCCGAGCGGGC